ACUCAUCCACUAAAGAACCCCUAUCAAAGGUACUUAAUCAAAUAAUUUUUUAUUAACAAUGGUUAAUUGUAUAUCAAAUUUAAAAUUUUGUAAAUAAUUCAAAAUAACAAUGUUCAUGAAAGUAUUGACAAAAAAAAAAUGUUCAUGGAAGUAUUCGAAGGUUGUUGGAUCAGAUGUUUCAAUCUUCUGCUAUUGUUACUCCACCACAGCUUUCUUGGUACAUACGUGGGAUCACCAUAAAAACAUCUUCUACUGACUUUUCUUCUUGUCAUCUUUCACACGAGCCAAACUUCUCUGCAAGUAAUAAGGGAAAAGAAAAGUCAAUAGUAGUCUAGAAAAUAAAAGACAUUUCUUAAAUGAAAGCAAAUGAAUGCCCUCAAACAUUUCAUGAGUUGGAUCAAACAAUCAACACACACGUCUAAAGGUAUAUAGGCUGAUGUGCAGUUUGACAAAAAGGUCACUUUUCAUAACAAUAAUGGCAUAAAAGCAAAGCCAAAGAUAUUGGGAAACCUCUAUACGUGAUACAACCCCUUUUGUAACAGAGAUUGUAUCUCCUCCAAGAGGAUACCCCACGACAGUUACUGAAUCCUACAUACCAAAGCCACCAUGGAAACUCUAUGAACAAUAGCUCUGUCCAGAUAUAUUAUUAGAACUAUAAAACAGGGAAGAACAUAAGAAAUUAAGAACAUAUGUAUUCUUCAAUCAACUAAACAGAGAAUCAUUAGAUCAACUUGGUUCGAAGUUCUCUAACAUUAGCUAACUUUUGGCAAUCUAUAAAGCUAUAUGAUAACAGAAGUUACCCAUCAAAAGGGGAGAAGAAACCAAGGGGUCUUGUAUCAUCACUGAGAAGUGCAACCUUUGGGCCAGUGUCAUCAUAGAGCUCUAAAGCCAUGGAAUUAACCGAUGUACCACAUUUCUACCAUAGAUUUUCUUUCACAGCUUCUACACACAUCUAUAGAACAAAAUAGACAAAUGUUACAAGCAGAACAAUCAACGGUUACCAAUACUGCUUGUACUCACAUAUACAGCUCAUAUUCAACUGUUAAUCAAGUCAAGAUUCUCAAUUAUUACCCUAAUUCCAAAUAUACUAAACCAAAUUUACUCUAACUAAAGCACAAUCCUCAUGAAAACAAAGAAGAAACAGAAAAUUACCGUCGUACUAACUUGACCACCACAACUCCCAGUGUUAGGUACGGUUCCACGAGAUUUUCCAGAUUGAGCACCCCAUCACCUCCUUGGCUCGCCUUACGUAACCGCUAGAUCUCACAGCCCACAGGGAUACUCUUUGAAAGCAAAUAACGGAUUGUAAACCCAGAUUGGAACCAGAUCUUCAUAUAAAUCGGUGUCAGAGACGAAGAACCGAAUGUUAAGCCGGAAAAAUUAAACGAUUCAAGGUGAAUCGAUUGAUUUCGUCGGAUCAGAAAUUUUGCCGGUGGAUCUUCAACAAGAGAGAAACGUUUCGGGAGAAAAGAAAGAAAAAGUGAUUUUUUUUUUCUUUUAUAUUUACUGACUCUCCAAUCAUAAAUGGCCACGUCGCGGUUCUUAAACGUUGCCUCAGUUGCCCGAAGAAGCAACGAUUCUCAAUUAAAUGGACCAUUUUUCUUUUUUUUUUCAUUAAUUGCUGGCCCACAUUUGUUUUAGGCAACCUGUUUAGUACUCCCAC
rnacentral:lncRNA from 1 species